rnacentral:rRNA from 1 species
CCUACGGGAGGCAGCAGUGAGGAAUAUUGGUCAAUGGGCGCGAGCCUGAACCAGCCAAGUAGCGUGAAGGAUGACUGCCCUACGGGUUGUAAACUUCUUUUAUAAAGGAAUAAAGUGAGGCACGUGUGCCUUUUUGUAUGUACUUUAUGAAUAAGGAUCGGCUAACUCCGUGCCAGCAGCCGCGGUAAUACGGAGGAUCCGAGCGUUAUCCGGAUUUAUUGGGUUUAAAGGGAGCGUAGAUGGGUUGUUAAGUCAGUUGUGAAAGUUUGCGGCUCAACCGUAAAAUUGCAGUUGAUACUGGCAGCCUUGAGUACAGUAGAGGUAGGCGGAAUUCGUGGUGUAGCGGUGAAAUGCUUAGAUAUCACGAAGAACUCCGAUGGCGAAGGCAGCUUACUGGACUGCAACUGACAUUGAGGCUCGAAAGUGUGGGUAUCAAACAGGAUUAGAUACCCGAGUAGUC